UACGAAGGGGGCUAGCGUUGCUCAGAAUCACUGGGCGUAAAGGGUGCGUAGGCGGCGGGGUAAGUCUGGUGUGAAAUCUCGGAGCUCAACUCCGAAAUUGCACUGGAUACUGCUCUGCUAGAGGGCUGGAGAGGAGAUCGGAAUUCACGGUGUAGCAGUGAAAUGCGUAGAUAUCGUGAGGAAGACCAGUGGCGAAGGCGGAUCUCUGGACAGCUCCUGACGCUGAGGCGCGAAGGCUAGGGGAGCAAACGGG
rnacentral:rRNA from 1 species